rnacentral:rRNA from 1 species
AUGGCGCCCAUGGUGGAGUGGUUGCCAUGGUUUGGAUCGGCGGUGGCGAGCGCCAUCUUCUUAUGGUCCAUGGUGCAGAACCACGUCCCGGACACCCUCCGUCUCUACCUCACCACCCGGGCAGCCAAGCUCGCCGCCUGCUUCAACCCUUACCACGAGAUCACCAUCUCCGAGUACGGCGCCAAGCGAUUCCAGCGUAGCGAAUUUUUCCUCGAUGUCGAGGCCUACCUGAGCGAUGCCUGUGCUCACCAUGCACGGAGGCUCAAGGCCGAGCUCGGCAAGGACAGCAAGAACCCCCAAAUCACCGUCGACGACCACGAGGAGGUCACCGACGACUUCUCCGGAACCACACUCUGGUGGUAUGCCUCCAAGCAGCAAUCCAAGGCCAAUGUCAUCAGCAUAUACCCCGGCCGGGAUGAGAAGCGAUUCUACCGGGUUGUAAUUCUUGAGUUGUAA